rnacentral:rRNA from 1 species
UACGUAGGGUGCAAGCGUUGUCCGGAAUUAUUGGGCGUAAAGAGCUCGUAGGUGGUUUGUUAAGUCUGCUGUGAAAUCCCCGGGCUCAACCUGGGAAUGGCAGUGGAUACUGGCAAGCUAGAGUGCGGUAGAGGGUAGUGGAAUUCCCGGUGUAGCAGUGAAAUGCGUAGAGAUCGGGAGGAACACCAGUGGCGAAGGCGGCUACCUGGACCAGCACUGACACUGAAGCACGAAAGCGUGGGGAGCAAACAGG